rnacentral:rRNA from 1 species
AUUGAACGCUGGCGGCAGGCUUAACACAUGCAAGUCGAGCGGGGGAGGUUGCUUCGGUAACUGACCUAGCGGCGGACGGGUGAGUAAUGCUUAGGAAUCUGCCUAUUAGUGGGGGACAACAUUCCGAAAGGGAUGCUAAUACCGCAUACGACCUGAGGGAGAAAGCGGGGGAUCGCAAGACCUCGCGCGAUUGGAGUGGCCGAUGUCAGAUUAGCUAGUUGGUGGGGUAAAGGCCUACCAAGGCAACGAUCUGUAGCUGGUCUGAGAGGAUGAUCAGCCACACUGGGACUGAGACACGGCCCAGACUCCUACGGGAGGCAGCAGUGGGGAAUUUUGGACAAUGGGGGCAACCCUGAUCCAGCCAUUCCGCGUGUGUGAAGAAGGUCUUCGGAUUGUAAAGCACUUUAAGUUGGGAGGAAGGGCAGUAAGUUAAUACCUUGCUGUUUUGACGUUACCGACAGAAUAAGCACCGGCUAACUCUGUGCCAGCAGCCGCCGUAAGAC